AUGAUUGCAAAUGAUGAGAUACAAGUUUUAUGGGUAAUUUGCGUCUGAGGCAUCUCUGUGAUGUUACUCUUUUCACCUUGGAGAUCUGUUGCAUCCU
rfam:Triticum aestivum genome assembly, contig: Triticum_aestivum_CS42_TGACv1_scaffold_321903_4BL